CCUAACACAUGCAAGUCGAGCGGUAGAGAGAAGCUUGCUUCUCUUGAGAGCGGCGGACGGGUGAGUAAAGCCUAGGAAUCUGCCUGGUAGUGGGGGAUAACGUUCGGAAACGGACGCUAAUACCGCAUACGUCCUACGGGAGAAAGCAGGGGACCUUCGGGCCUUGCGCUAUCAGAUGAGCCUAGGUCGGAUUAGCUAGUUGGUGAGGUAAUGGCUCACCAAGGCGACGAUCCGUAACUGGUCUGAGAGGAUGAUCAGUCACACUGGAACUGAGACACGGUCCAGACUCCUACGGGAGGCAGCAGUGGGGAAUAUUGGACAAUGGGCGAAAGCCUGAUCCAGCCAUGCCGCGUGUGUGAAGAAGGUCUUCGGAUUGUAAAGCACUUUAAGUUGGGAGGAAGGGCAUUAACCUAAUACGUUAGUGUUUUGACGUUACCGACAGAAUAAGCACC
rnacentral:rRNA from 1 species